AACCUAUCCAGAUAAAUUGCGCCAUCCGGAUAGAGUGAAUUUGAUUGUGGUUGGAUGAAAAGUAUAAACAUAUACCAUUCUGACACGCUUUGGUGCGGCCUAAGCUUUUGUCCUCAAUGGCAUUUUUUUCCCCUUACAUUACUUUUACUUUUAUACUUUAAGUAGUUUUGAAACCAGUACUUUUACACUUUUAGUGUGUAGAGUAAAAAGCUCGAGUUGAUACUUCAACUUCUACAAAAGUCUUUUUAAACCAUAGUAUUUGAUUGGCGGCUGUAGCUCAGUUAGUAGAGUUGUCACCUCUAAAACUGGAAGGUCAAGGGUUCAAUCCCCAGCUGAGCAAAAUGUCCGAUGUGUUCUUGGCACCUAACACUGCAUUGCUUCCGCUGCUUCAGUGGCAGUGUAUGAAUGGAGUAGUGUUGUACUUAAUCUCUGGUGUACGUCGCUUUGGAUAAAAGCGACGUACACCAUAGUAUCUAUAAUGAACGUCAAUACUUUUGACACCUCUGGCUAAAUGUAUACACUUGACCAAAACUGGUUCUUCUGGUUUGCUUUAGCUAUGUUCGCCCCACCCACAGCAGACUUCCAGGGCCCCAGCGCUCCUCCGGCCAGUAUGUUUGACAACUUGCCUGGCUAUGAAGAAACAGUGGCGGGAGGAGAAGGUGGAUUUCUACCUCCUCCAAUGCCUUCUUACCCAGUUCCUCAGCCUGAACCUGGACCUCACCAACCACAAUGGAAUAUCCCGUCUAUCAGCAAGGACACUGCCCGGGAUGCGUUUGUCCUGUUUGCCUCCAGCAAAUGCUGCUACAGUGCAGCACCAGCAAAGGAUGGUGUGAUCACCAGUAUGGAGGCAUUUAAUGCUUACAGGUACCGCCUGGAAACCUUCACUGAAUCACGAUCUACAAAGUGGAAGCAUGAGCCAUACCAUAACCAGCCUUUGGAUGCCUUUGCCCAACCUCCACCAGGGCCGUGGGAUAUUCCUGCAAAAUCCCCCACCUUUUUUGUGGAUGACAAGCAGGUUAUAAAGGUUCCCAACACAUCCUCAUUGAAGAGCUGCCAUGCUUGUGUGGGAAUGGGGAGAAAACCUUGCAAUAGCUGUGUUGGUGCUGGAAAUAAAGUUUGUUGGGUCUGCAAUGGAUCCGGUUUCCGCCACGGAGAUGAUCGAUGCCACCACUGCAGUGGCAGAGGGAGGGAAAAUUGCAGCCACUGUCACGGGCAAGGAUCGGAGCAAUGUAUCACAUGUCAUGGAAAACGACAGCUUCUGGUCUACAUCAAACUCACCGUGAAAUGGACCAACAACACUGAUAACUGUGUUGUGGGACAGUCAAGUGGACUGCAGUUGGACAACCUGAGCAAAGUGUCUGGCGAGGAGCUUUUCAAAGACACUCAGUACAUGGUUUACCCAGUGACCGGCUUUCCAGAUGUUACAGUGGUGAAUACUGCACAGCGCCUUGUCGGAGAACACCAGAACAAGUUCUGCCAGAGCUCACGUAUUCUACAACAGCGUCAGACCAUAGAGCUGAUCCCCGUCACCAAAGUGACCUACUCAUGGAAAGAGAACUCACAUGUUUACUUUGUGUACGGAAAUGAGUUCAAAGUCAGUGCAGAUAAUUAUCCUGCUCCCUGUUGCUGUACUGUCAUGUAAUUGAAAUGCUUUUAUACAAAGGUAAUUCAAUUCCAGAUCAUUGGCUAUCAAAAUUAAGCAGUUUUACUACAAGUCACUUAUAUUGAUUAAUGGGAGGUUCCCUGAUAUGUAGGCAUAUAAGUCCUUUUUUAAGUUUAUCUAAGAAGAGGUCAACAAGCCAUUUAAGCAAGGAUGCCAAUUCAGUCAGAGGAACUAAUGAAAUCCAUUCAAUAAGUGAUCUUAAACGCCAAGCAGACAGUGAAUUUUCCUUUGAGCCGCUACAACAUUAGUAAGUAAAUAAAGUUUAUUUGUAUAGAACCAUUCACAGAUACACAUCACAAAGUGCUUUACAUUAAAACAAGUACACAAUUAAUCAAAAUAAAAAGAAGAGAACAGUAAUAAGCGCAGGGGAGAACAGAUAACAUCAUAACAACAAUAAAACUAAUAAGCACAGUGAUGCAUAAGAAUCCAAUGUUACUGAGAAAUAAAAGCAGAAUAAACAAGACAAUUAUAACUAAGUUAAAUUAAUAAUAAUAAUAUCAUUGUUAUUAUUGUAUGCCAUGUAUCAAUCGAUCAAUUGUUUUCUGUAUAGCACCAAUUCAUAACAAGUAUUAUCUUGAGGUAGUAUUAUGCUUUAUGGGAUAAUAUGCAGGCAGGAUUUCUCCUUUGUAUGCAUGACCUAAUAAAGAAAAUGCUUAUUGAUAACAUGUAAAAAUUUGUAAAUGAUACACUCUUUACACAUUUAUGUCAGUAAUGUUGUCGUUUCCAUCAUAAAUCAAAAUGUUUUAUACUGAAUAUUUUUUUGCAUUAUUAAACUUUUAGUAACAUGUGUAACGUGAUGUCACAUGGCAAAACUUUUUCUUUUUUUUAACAUGAAUGUUAAUCAUUACUAACUUUGUAUAAUCUCAACACACGACAAUAUCUCCGACUUGCUUUGUAUUUAUCUAUCAAUUUGAAUAAAUGGUAUUUUCACAAUG